AUGACAGAUUUAGCUGUCCCACCAGGAGGGGAUGAGAGAAGAAAACUGAAGGAUCAGUUGCUUUCCUGAAUGCAGUGCUGCUAAUAGCAGUCCCCUGAGGCUCCAGCUAUUCACCUCAGAAUCCCUACUGCAGAGGAGCAUACCGACCUGUCACGUUCACUCCUCUUCCACCAAACACUUCUGAGGCCAGUUCUUCUUGAAAGCUGUCUCAGUGAGCACACAGCAGAAAAACAAAUGUGCUACUCCUGGCCCAGGCUGGAAAACACGGAGUGCCUGGUAAUGCCGGUGGGAUAGCACAGGAAGGACCACAGCCUUCUGCAGGGAGACAUGCCAAAGGAAUCACAGCCAGCACGCUGCAAUUCGUGUGGCUUCCUAAAACAUGAAGGUGAGUUGAUUACAGCAGGGAGGUGAAGAUAGGAACUAUUUGUGCACUUCACUCUGCCCCUUUGCCAGAGGUUACCACCUUCACACUGCUUCUCACAACUCUCUAACAGCACCUAGCAUCACAGGGCAAGUUCUCCUUCGCUGGUAGCAUGAACAAGCCCUCGGAUUUUGCAUUUCAGCUGCUUCAGAGGAAGUACAACCUUCCUCCUGUCGAU
rnacentral:lncRNA from 1 species